CAGCCCCGCCAGCCAGCCAGCGCUGACUCUGGGACAAGGACACUUACCUCACCUCCUGAGUGUUGAUGGCGGGACCCCGCAGCCCACCCUGGAGGCACAAGGCCUGCAACCCAUUGCGGCCCAGGCCAUGCCAACCUGGACGGGCGGAGCCACCAGCCUGUUUCUCUGACAAGCUGACCACUGACGAUGCAACGCUGGAUCAUAUUCCAGAUCAGGAAUAUAAUACGGAAAGCCUUCAACUACGCUCAAGUUCAGGUACCUGAGGAACGCCUCACUUAUCCAGAGUUCCUGGCCAGUGAAGAUGAUGUGGCAGGGGAAUUCUUUUCAGGGAACGAAAUAAAACUUGUUUU